AGGGGUGUAGCUCAAUUGGCAGAGCAGUUGAUUCCAAAUCAACAGGUUGUGAGUUCGAGUCCCACCGCCCCUG
rnacentral:tRNA from 1 species